rnacentral:lncRNA from 1 species
CAGCAACAGAAGAUCCACUGUGGUGACACUGUAGCUGUGUCAAAUGACAUCCACCCUCUCACAGCUGUGGGUCUGAACACCGCUGCAGGAAAAAAAGAGGGACUUUGGCUCAAUGCAUUCCUAGAAGAGAUCUAUUUCCUUGGUUCCUAGAGCAUCUUUUUACACUAGGAGUGAUACAAGCUUCAAGCUGCAGAAUGUGGUUUUAACAUUGCAGCAAAGCCAAGGAGAGACUCUCCUCUACAAAAGCAGAAGGUCCAGCUGAUUUCAACCGGCUCCAUAUGGGCAGCCACUGAGCCACAUACCUUCAGUCCUGGAAGGAUUCUUUCCCAGACAUGCAGGAAAAGAGUAAACGAAGAAACAUGAAAACAUCAUUUCUGGAGGAGAAACAGCAUGAAACCAAUCUGGCUGCAACAUGUAUGUUUGUAAACACUGGACCACAUUCUCAACUGCAUAGCUUCAUUGACUUUGAUUAGUAAAGAUCUGGUCUACUGGUUUUCUCUCAGAUAAAUAUUAAUGUGCACUUACUUCUGUCUCAAAAUGGAUCUCAUUGAUAUCAAAUGCAGAAAGGACAGCUGAAACAAGG